GUCAGGAUGUCCGAGUGGUUAAGGAGUGAGACUUGAAAGCCCCGAUGGGUAUAGAUAUCUCAUGGCUACGGCCUCGCAGGUUCGAAUCCUGUUUCUGACG